rnacentral:rRNA from 1 species
GACGAACGCUGGCGGCGUGCCUAAUACAUGCAAGUAGAACGCAGUUGCGAACGGGUGAGUAACGCGUAGGUAACUGCCUCAUAGCGGGGGAUAACUAUUGGAAACGAUAGCUAAUACCGCAUACUGUGAGAUGGACCUGCGUUGUAUUAGCUAGUUGGUUAGGUAAAGGCUCACCAAGGCGACGAUCCAGAGCCUGCCUGAGAGGGUUGUCCGGCCACACGGGACUGGGACCCGGCCCAGACUCCUUCGGGGGGGCGCCGUAGGGAAUUUUCGGCAAUGGACGGAAGUCUGACCGCGCCACGGCGCGUGGGUGAAGAAGGGUUUCGGAUCGGAAAACUCUGUUAAUAGAGAAGCGGUACCUAACCAGAAAGGGACGGCUAACUACGUGCCAGCCGCCGCGGUAAUUC